AAUAAGAGUUUGAUGUAAAAUCAAUAAGGGAGAGAUGGUUGACUUAAAGUUUCGUCACUUUGACUUUUGAUGAACAUAUCAUUAGAAUCCAAUGGUGCAAUACUUUGAUUUAAAUCCUUAAUUUGGCUAUAGUAAUCCAAGGAGCUUGAGAUUACCUAGACUUUUCUUAAUUGUUGAAAUGGCUAGAGAAGCUCAUAACAAUUUCCUUAGUCAAACUCACUAAUUCCAAAUAGCAUGUAAUUAGUGAAAGUCAACUAACAUUAAGAACCAAAAAAUCACCAAAUCCAAGAGGGUUCAAAAGCUUUCACCACCAUGUUGGAGGAAAUGUUUUUAUGAUUGUGUGAAGCAAAAACAACACAAAAAUCAUUUGUUGCUUGCUAAUUUGAGGAUCAUUUACUUAAUCAAGAAAUUAGCCAACUAAUCACCACAAACACAUUUAAACUCAUGAAUAAAAACAUACUAGUACUGAUAACAUGAUAAAACACAAAACAUUUCCAUAAAGAUUGAAGAAUAAGUUCAUGGAUUCUUCAACACCCAACAAAAGUUCAAAGGAUUCAACAAAAAUCAACCAAUAUUAGUUUAGCCAAGCAUGGCUAAACUCAAAGAAACAAAGUUAGAAAAGAUUGUACCAAACAUUAACCAAGAAUCAAGAGAAGAACAGAUGAAGUUCUUCACGGUUUUUGGCCUUCAAAUUGCUCCAAAACUCUAGAGAAAAUGCCUCCAAAUCGGAUGUAAAAGAUAAGGCUGAAGUGGCACACCAACCUUCCCAAUAUAGAGCUCUAGACAAAAUCUCGAAUUUUCCCUUGUCAGGAAUCCACGCGGGCCACGUGACUUUGACGGGUUUUUGGGUUCCUUCAUGUCUUGGGCCCCAACAGCUAGUCCAUCGGCCCGGUACAAGUCUAAUCAGCUUCUAGCCUAUUUUUCUUCAAUAUUUCUUCGAUUUGAGCCCAAUUUGCCUCUCCAAAUCACUCAAAGCUUCCGCAAACUCCCAAACAUCGAUCUUGCACACUCAAGGUAUUGGAAAAUUUGUUCAAUAAUUGAACCGGCCACCUAUCUAAGAUAGUUGCAGCUAAAAAUUUGCAUGCCAUUUUUUUUCCUCUUUUUUUUAUAACAUACUUGAAGGUAAUGUAUUAACAAUUGAAACUUUUUAACAAGAAAACCCUUUGACUCAAAAUUUGGUUCCCAAAAGUGUGUAAGUGGAACCGAAAGGGUAAUGAUAUAAUCUGAAAGGCCUAAGUGUGACAAUGACCAUGUGUGGAGCAUAAAGAUGUAAUGUAAGCUCCUUUUCAAACUUGUGGUUUUUCAAAGAUAAUGAAAAUAUCCAAAUGUGGACUAAAAGACUCUCUAAAAUUCUAAGAAAAUCGCAAAAAGAUAUAGUGAUGUAAAGAGACCGGAUAUCGAUUCUACUCGGGCACAAGCACCAAUGCUUCAUCCUAACAGUUAAAACAUGAUCAAGUGUGAUCCUCUCAGCGGUAGUGACCGCCAGGCUAAGAACAUCCAUUGCUAUAGUAUAUCCUACAGUUGUUAGUAUUGUAUGCAUAAUUCUUCGUGAAACUACCUGGCCAUGAUCACUUACCCCUUUAAGCUUCCAGCAUCUGAUCCCAAGUAUGAAAUCCCAAACUGCAGCCAAUGGUCCUGGUUCGAUGGGUGAGAUAACAACAAGAUCCUGGACCAAUAAUGAUACAAUAACUGUGAACCUGUUCCAUGGUAUCCAAGGAGGUGAGAAUAAACACACAACAAAAAUACAUGAAUGCUAAUGCCUUAAGCUAAAUGUUAUGCAAAAAUAAAAAGUGGAAAAGAAAAAAAUAAAAUAUUUUUUGAAAUUUUAUAAAAAAAUGAAUGAAAAUUAACUUAAACUACUAUGAUAUGCAACCUAACAAAACAAAAAUGCAUGAAAAAAUAAAAGAAAGGGAAAUGCCCCACCCCAAGCUUAAGAACAACCAUUAUCCUCAAUGCUUAUGGGAAGGGCGUAAAUGACCAUAAUCCGAGGGUUGGAUAGAACAUAGGGGUUUCUAGAGGACGAAAAAUGGUGAAUAAUGGUGGUGGUCUCACGGGAUUCCGACCGGUAGAUCUCUGGGAAAUCGAGUUUUUGUGUGGAGUGCGGGCGGGGCGCGGGCCGCGUAGAGGCCGCGUGUAACAUUCCUGGUUUCCUCUUGAGUUCACAGAAGGUUCAGAAGAAUUUUGGGUCGAAACACGCGAGCCACGUAAAGUCCGCGUGAAUUGAAGCUCAAAAAACACUAAGUGUUGAAACUAGCCCUGCGGGCCGCGUGGAUUUUCACGUGGGUCGUGUCUGCUGAACAGGGCUGGAGGUGAUUUUUUUAUGCGGGCAAGGAAUGGGCCGCACAUAAGCCGCACAUGACCUUACGCGGGCCGCGUGACUUCCUGCACUUGAAAAUUUGAAAUUUUUCUAAAAACUUGAUUUUUGGCCAAAAUGAUUCCCACGAUGUCUCGGUUUCAAAAACACAACAAAAGGUUUGGAACAAAGGUGAGAAUAAAGCUUGAAAUUUUUCAAAAUUGAACACUUUCAAAACAAAAAAAAACAUUUUCAAAAUCAUUUUAUUCGGUUUAUAAAAUACGAAAGCACAAUGCUUCCCAAAAAUGCCCUUCUUUAACGUCUUUGGCGAGACGCCUCCAAACUUCACGUUAACACUUUGGGGCGUCCAAAUGGACGACAUCUUUGACAUAUGAAUCAAAACCUUCAUAGAAUGACUUCAAACGAGGUCUAUUAACCUUGAAAACGUUUCCCGUGUCAACAUUUGUAACGUCCCAAAAUUCAAGACUAAAAAUUUCAUUUAAUAAAACAUUACGUUAAGCAAAUUCAUCGUUUUCAAACAUAAACAAAGUAUUAGUUUCCAAAAUACAUAUUCAUUAUCAGAGUAAACAUUCCCAGACUGUCUAAGCUAUGGUGUGUGCCAUGCGAUCAUCCCGAGCUCCAUCAUCCGCUACCGGAAGUACCUGAAACCAAAACUGAAAACCAUAAGCACGAAGCUUAGUGAGUUCCCCACCCUACCACAUACCAUGCAUAACCACAUACUGCACAUACUGGGCCGCGCCCGCUAUCCUGGGCCUCGCCCCCUACCUCGGGCCUCGCCCGUGUAACACCCCAAAGUUUGGAAAGCCAAGAAAAGAAAGAAAACCUCAAGUUUAGGGGAGACUCGGCGAGUCCANUAAUCACAUACUAACGGAUCUUGUCCUAAGGCCUCGCCUAUCUCUGGGCCCCGCCCCUGACCUGCUACUGAUGAGUCACGGAACCCCAUCCAUGCUCCUACUGGUAGUGAGAUACAGGCCCAGCGCACGCUCACUCCCUUCCUGACUGGGGCCUCGCCCCUGCUCUGCUGCUACUGAGAUGUGGAAUACCAUCCACACUCUGCUAUUGGUGAGAUACGGGACCUCGCCCACACUCACCCCCCCUACCAGGCACAUACAAGUAUCACACAGACAACAAGUAUAAACUGUCAUUUAAACCAUUCCUUGGGCACCCGCCCUUUAUCAUUGGACCUCGUCCCGAAUAUCAUACUAGCAUACUGGGCCUAGGGCUAACCCCUGGGUCUUUUACUCAUAACUACAUGGGCCGGAAUUGUGGCCGUAGACCCAUUCAUACACAGGGAAACUCACCUGAUACUGCUGAACUACUACUGCUAAUCCCUUUGACCGCUACCUGACCACUGACUCCGAACUGCUGCUCCACUGGCUCCCCGAGCUACCAAUAUCAACAUAACACUUAGUCUAACUGACCUUCAAAGGUCAACCAAGUCAACUCUUGCCAAAUUCAAAGUCCUAGUCAAAGUCAACCUUCCAGGUCAACCCUACUCGCUGAGUCCACUUACUGACUCGCCGAGUCCCUAUGCUCAAAGUCCUUCCAAUCACGACUCGACUCGCCGAGUCAGCCUUUUACUCGCCGAGUCUACUGAUUCUUGAAACCUGUCCUGUCCAACUCACUGAGUCCUUUCUCGACUCGCUGACUCGAGUCUUAACUCGAAGGGUUUGAGACUACGCGACCUGACUCGCCAAGUCUGAGAACAGACUCGCCGAGCCAAGGCAAUCUUCAUCCAACUCGCCGAGUUGUUCAUCCAACUCGCCGAGUUCAUGCCCAUCUUCAUCCGACUCGACGAUUUGUUCAUCCCACUCAUCGAGUUCCUCCUCAUCUUCAAGCUACUCGCCGAGUCCACUCGAAGGACUCGCCAAGUCCAUACGGAUCUGCUUAGAUGCAGAGGACUUUCGAGUCAUGCAUGGACUCCAAACUGUAGAUCUACCCUUCCCAAGCCUAUCCCCCACGUAAAGUUGCAAACUUUACAUGUAGAGAGGGAGAUCUAGGCAAAAAGCACCAUAAACUAGGGUUUAAGGCCAAGGGGAUUCAAAAUCGACUCUUGAGCUGAUACUUUAUGCUUCUCCAGUCCAUAACACACUUGGAUCUGAAGUAGCAACUCCAGAUCCGGCUCCUAACUCAAGAUAAUAUCAUUAUGGCUAAAGAGCCAACAACCACACAUAAAACUAGAUGCAAAAAGGGUCCAGGAACUAGUUUAUACCUCCAAAAGCUCAGAAAUGUCUUCCCAAUCCCGGAUCUACAGCCCCCUUCUUGCACUCUCAAGAUUCUUCUUCUUCCUCCAAGCUAAAAGCACUCUUAAAGGCAAUAAAUGGCUGAAAUAGAGGAUAUGGCGGCUAGGGUUUGAUAUCCAGGGCUUAAGAGGCAGUAAGGAGCCCUAGGAAGAAGAUUAAGACGUUUAUAUAGGCUCCAAGUCCCAAAUUUAGGGUUUUCCACGCAUAGACCAGACUCGCCGAGUCACCUUGGCCGACUCGCCGAGUCGGUCACUUACUCCUCGACCCGGAUCCCGCUCGGACUGGCCGAGUUCCUCCUUGGACUCGCCGAGUCGCCCCUUAACAUUAAGGUUUUCUUUCCUUUCUUGGCCUUCAAAACUUUGGGUGUUACAACAUUUUUUAAUUUCCAAACCUCCAUUGGGACUCUUUUCUUGUAUUUGACUUUCUUUUUACAGGAGAACCAUACCGGACUUAGACCUUUGAUAAUAGCAAUCAUCCAACCAUAUUCUUCCUUGUACUUUUUCAGUGAGGUGACCAACGCUUCCAUCAUUGACAUGGUGGUCUAGUUGGUGACCGGUUGGGUGUCUUCCGUCUCGGGAUAUGUAUCAAUUAAAAGGUCUGACAAAUUUAUCGUUUCCAGCUCUUUUGGUUCGUCUAUCACUAGUGUUAGUUUCUCAAUGGUAGUGGGUGGCUCAACCUCUCUUUUGUUAACACCAAACACUUCCUCUAUAGUUUCAUUGACAUCUUUCUCAAUUUCUUCUUCUACCUUGAUAGCCUCUUCCAUUUCUACGCCUUCUUCCUCUUCUCCAUAUAACACUCUUGGGCCAUCAAAACUUUUCUCAUCUUUCAAAGGAAUGACACAUGGGCUCUCUUUAGAUGGUAGUUUGUCUUGAUCUUCCAUUAUAGUUAUUGUUUUAGGAAGUUGUGUUAUUUGUUGAUCUAAGCUUUUGAGGCUAGCUUACGUUGUUUCCUGGAAAUUUUAGGUAGAUGUGGCAAUGCUCUUCACAAUGUCCUCUAAGGACAUGCUUGGCAUUUUAGGUUGUUGAGAAGGUGUAGGAUAUGGAUGUUGGAACUGUGGAGGUUGUUGGUAUUGGUCACUUCUCCAACCUUGGUAUGAGCUUUGGUAUUGGUUGUAUCCCCAAGCUUGGUUGUUGUCCCACCAUUGAUCAUAUUGAGGUUGAUCAUAACUCCAUUGGUUUGACCAGCAGUGGCUUCCCUUUUCUUGCACUUCUUCCCAUUCUCCUUGUAAAUAUGGACACAUAUCGCAAUGAUGUCCAUUUUGGGCACAAUUAUCGCAAAGAAGAGGCGAGGGUUGCACACUUUGGUCACUUUCAAUCAUCAUAACUAACCUAGCUAGCUCAGAAAGUUUAUCUUCAAUAGAAGGAGUGUUCAUUUCUGAAACAUAAUACUUUUUUUUCAAUUUUUUUUGGUUUUAACCUAGAGUACCUGCACAAUGAGAUCUAGGCAUAGAGAAACAAAAUGAUUAAAUAUAAACCAAUCCCCGACAAUGGCGCCAAAAAUUUGGUGGUUGUCGAGGCCAAAAAAAUAAUAACCCUAAAUAUUACACACUAAAAUAGUGUAUAGUGGUAAAGGGAUCGAAUCAACGGAGAUUGGUUCAAUUUAUAACUCUAUGAAAAAUCUUUUUGUAAAAAUACUUGUAAAAUAACAAUAAAAAUAAAAUGGGGGGUUUUGGUGUUUUGAAAUACUUGAAACAAACUAGUAACUAUGAGUUAAAUAGACAAUUUGAAAAAAAAAAAUAAGAGUUUGAUGUAAAAUCAAUAAGGGAGAGAUGGUUGACUUAAAGUUUCCUCACGUUGACUUUUGAUGAACAUAUCAUUAGAAUCCAAUGGCGCAAUACUUUGAUUUAAAUCCUUAAUUUGGCUAUAAAAAUCCAAGGAGCUUGAGAUUACCUAGACUUUUCUUAACUGUUGAAAUGGCUAGAGAAGCUCAUAACAAUUUCCUUAGUCAAAGUCACUAAUUCCAAAUAGCAUGUAAUUAGUGAAAGUCAACUAGCAUUAA
rnacentral:lncRNA from 1 species